GACGAACGCUGGCGGCGUGCCUAAUACAUGCAAGUAGAACGCUGAAGCUUGGUGCUUGCACCGAGCGGAUGAGUUGCGAACGGGUGAGUAACGCGUAGGUAACCUGCCUGGUAGCGGGGGAUAACUAUUGGAAACGAUAGCUAAUACCGCAUAACAGUAUAUAUCGCAUGAUAGCUACUUGAAAGGUGCAAAUUCACCACUACCACAUGGACCUGCGUUGUAUUAGCUAGUUGGUGAGGUAACGGCUCACCAAGGCAACGAUACAUAGCCGAAAGGAGAGGGUGAGCGGCCACACUGAGAGGGAGACACGGCACAGAGGGCUACGGGAGGCAGCAGUAGGGAAUCGGCGGCAAGGGACGGAAGUCUGACCGAGAAACGCCGCGGGAGUGAAGAAGGUUGUCGGAUCGGAAAGCUCUGUUGUAAGAGAAGAAAGAGUGUGAGAGUGGAAAGUUCACACUGUGACGGUAUCUUACCAGAAAGCGACGGCUAACUACGUG
rnacentral:rRNA from 1 species